AAAGAUCCAGAGUUUCCAUUUUGGGUGUGCUACUGGGGCUCGAUUUGCAAAGGAUCCAGCUACAACUCAAGAGCUAGAAAAGCUCCCUAGCAUACACAUGCACCGAACCCAAUGUCACAGGAGGGCUCCUCACUGAAAUGUGGAUCUGUGAAUGUUCCAAGCUUCAAAAUUGUGUGACAAAAAUUGGAAAGUCAAUACUAUACAAGCAAGAAUAGAUGACCAAGAAACUACAUAGAGCACUGGAAAACUCCAAGGAUCAUUGUUAAGUUCAGGCAGGAAAAUAAGCACGGAAGAAGCCUUAGGAGGCAGAAGAAGUAAUGAAUUCGCAAGUUCCAGAGACACUCAAAUCUCUGUUCUGUAAGCAAAUCCAUGUUGGUACAUUCUUCUUCAGUAUGGAGUCUUCUGAAAUCACUGAAUUUUCAGGCAAGCUCAGAAGUCAACCAAACGAAAUGCGAAGGCUCUGAGCAGUAAGGUCUCUCUGGACUUUUCUAAUGAGUCACAAAAAUCAUGAGUAAUGCUGAGUCAUGAAGCCUGCAGCAGGAUGGGUCAGUUCAACUCGUGUGUAUAAUUUCAGGAGAGAUUUUGUGAGAGGGAAGCUCCUAUCUAAUGUGUCUGUCUUCUCAAAUAAGUAUUUUCACCACAUCUCUCCUCCCUCACAGUUUAUUGUGGCUACAUAUAAACUACUUAACAUGUACAACAUAAGCACAUUCAGUAUGUGUUUAGGUGUGUGUUAUCACAAAUGCAGA